GACGAACGCUGGCGGCGUGCCUAAUACAUGCAAGUCGAACGCAGUGGGGACGGGUGAGUAACACGUGGGUAACCUCCCAUCAGAGGGGAUAACACUUGGAAACAGGUGCUAAACCGAUACUGAUGGAUGGACCCGCGGUGCAUUGGCUAGUUGGUGAGGUAACGGCUCACCAAGGCCACGAUGCAUAGCCGACAGGAGAGGGUGAUGGGCCACACUGGGACUGAGACACGGCCCAGACCCCUACGGGAGGCAGGAGUAGGGAAGCGGCGGAAAUGGAGGAAAGUCUGAACGAGGAACGCCGCGGGAGAGAAGAAGGUUUUCGGAUCGGAAAACUAUGUUGUUAGAGAAGCGGUAGCUAACCAGAAAGCCACGGCUAACUACGUGCCAGCAGCCGCGGUAAUUA
rnacentral:rRNA from 1 species